UCUCCUACUAAUCUCACUGUAACCCCCUCCAGGUCUCUGUUCUCCUACUAAUCUCACUGUAACCCCCUCCAGGUCUCUGUUCUCCUACUAAUCUCACUGUAACCCCCUCCAGGUCUCUGUUCUCUUACUAAUCUCACUGUAACCCCCUCCAGGUCUCUGUUCUCCUACUAAUCUCACUGUAACCCCCUCCAGGUCUCUGUUCUCCUACUAAUCUCACUGUAACCCCCUCCAGGUCUCUGUUCU